AAAGACUAUAAACCUCUAGGGGUGGUCCACCAGGGAUGCGGGUGGUGCAUGGUGGGCGUCAUCUCUUGUCGUGAGAGGUUGGUUUUGUCCAGCGACGAGCGCACCUCGCUAGUUACCAUCAUUUAGUUGGGCACUUUAGUGAGACUGCCAAUGAUAAAUUGGAGGAAGGUGGAUUACGUCAAAUCAUCUGCCCCUUAUGACCUGGGCUACAAACGUGAUACAAUGGCUGUUACAAAGAGUAGCUGAAGCGUGAGUUUUUAGCAAAUCUCAAAAAAACAGUCUCAGUUCGGAUUAGUCUGCAACUCGACUCAUGAUCGGAA
rnacentral:rRNA from 1 species